UGGUUGGGGACCAUCAAGCUCAAACUUGAUCAAUAGGUGUUGUGGAGAGCAUUGGAGACUUGGGAUGAACAUGGAGAAAAAUGAUACUCAUCUUUUAUUGUUGAUCAAGCCAAGUCGUGUGGAUUAUCAUCAUACUAUAAAACCAAUGCCCCUCCUUGCGGUAACUUUUAUUGUAUUGCUUACUGUAACAUCCCAAAAUUUCAAAUUCUUACAUGUCCAUUGCAUCCAUAAGCAUCAUGCCACAAUUGCAUAUUUGAAUUCAAAUUUGAAUCUCAAAAGGCUUUAAAAGAUUUUUAUUUCAAUUAAAACCCUAGGGUUUACACCCAUUUGAGUUUUGAAUCUUCAAACCAAUAGGGUUUAAUUAUAAAAGGGGUUUAUUGCAUAAGUAAGCUAUCCCAUAAUUUUUGGAUAAUUAUUUGGAGUUGAAAACGUAUUUUAUUUAAAUAGUUAUAUAGCCCUAAAGGCAUUUAUAGGGCAAAUGUAUUUUUAUAUAUUUUAUUUGGAAAGGAAAAUAGUCCCAAAAGUUGAAUCAUGAUAAAACAUGAUUUUAAAAAAAUUCUGGAAUUUAUUUGGACCAAUUUGGAGUUCAAAAUCAAAAGAUAUCAAAGAAAUAAGAAAAAGGAAAACAAGAAAAGGCUAAAAGGAAAAAAAAAGAGAAAACCGGACCGGCCCGGCCAAAUGGGCCGAACCGGCCCCGUUCCGCGCGAACCGACCGAACCAGACCAGCCCGGUCCGCGCGCGCGCCCGCAGCCAUUGACAGGUGGGGCCCAACCUGUCAGGCCUUUCUUCCUCGAAGGAAAG
rnacentral:lncRNA from 1 species